rnacentral:rRNA from 1 species
GACGAACGCUGGCGGCGUGCUUAACACAUGCAAGUCGAACGAAGUGGCGAACGGGUGAGUAACGCGUAAUCAACCUGCCCUUCAGAGGGGGACAACAGUUGGAAACGACUGCUAAUACCGCAUACUGAAGGAGGGGAUUGCGUCUGAUUGGCUAGUUGGGGGGGUAACGGCCCACCAAGGCGAUGAUCGGUAGCCGGGCUGAGAGGCUGACGGGCCACAGUGGGACUGAGACACGGGCCAGACUCCUACGGGAGGCAGCAGGGGGGAGGCUUCGGCAAUGGACGAAAGUCUGACGGAGAAACGCCGCGUGAGUGAUGACGGCCUUCGGGUUGUAAAGCUCUGUUAAUCGGGACGCGGUACCGGAAUAGAAAGCCACGGCUAACUACGUGCCAGCCGCCGCGGUAAUAC